GGGGGAAUUCCAGAGCGGUCAAAUGGGGCAGACUGUAAAUCUGUUGCUUCGGCUUCGGUGGUUCGAAUCCACCUUCCCCCACCA
rnacentral:tRNA from 2 species